UGGGGAAUUUUCCGCAAUGGGCGCAAGCCUGACGGAGCAAUACCGCGUGAGGGAGGAAGGCUCUUGGGUCGUAAACCUCUUUUCUCAGGGAAGAACACAAUGACGGUACCUGAGGAAUCAGCAUCGGCUAACUCCGUGCCAGCAGCCGCGGUAAUACGGAGGAUGCAAGCGUUAUCCGGAAUGAUUGGGCGUAAAGCGUCCGUAGGUGGUUAUGUAAGUCUGUGGUUAAAGCGUGGGGCUCAACCCCAUAAGGGCCAUGGAAACUACAAGACUUGAGUAAAGUAGGGGUAGAGGGAAUUCCCAGUGUAGCGGUGAAAUGCGUAGAGAUUGGGAAGAACACCGGUGGCGAAAGCGCUCUACUGGACUUAAACUGACACUGAGGGACGCAAGCUAGGGGAGCGAAAGGGAUUAGAUACCCCUGUAGUC
rnacentral:rRNA from 1 species